AUGAAAAAAAGUUGGGAGAACUUUAGAGACAAAAGAGUGGUUCGAAAACGUACUUUGUACAGAUCUGAAGCUGGAAGGGAUGUUAUUGUCAUCCAUGUGAAUGUCUUCGUCAUCGUCCUGAAAUGGAGGGUCCAAAACUGAUACUGGGCUGCUCUGUUCUUUUUCUUCUUCCUCUUCCUCCAUUUCUAGUUUCUUUAGCUUCUCUACUUCAUAACUCUCUUUUUCCAUCUGUUUUACACAUAAUGAAGUACUUUAGGAUCGAAUAAUUCAACUUCAGCUUAGCUGCUAAUUUGACUGAUUGAGUUAGAAUACACAGACAAAGACAAAUAUUUUGGACUCUAUUGCUAAAUAAUUUUUGGUAGACAAAAACCAAAAACACAAAAACAAGAGAGUAAGAUUUGCAUGUCAGAAACAGAGAUCAACUUUGUUUUCAACAGCACAAAAGGCUGAGUUCAUUUUCGAAAAGACGAAAAUUACAUUUGUCUUCAACUGUUUUUGCAUCUUCGAAAACAACCAAACCUUAAGUUUGAGGGGUAUUCGUGUCAUUUACUAAUCAUUCUUACUUUGUCACUAAUUCAAACGAGUCAAACUAAGUCAUUAAUUAAACUUCUAUACACAAUUUUUGGAAACAUCUAUAGUUUUGUAUUUUCAAAUUUAAGUAUCAUAUUAAUGAUUAUUAUGUACAUCAAUUAUUUUCGGGGUAUUUUUUUUUCAAUUUCUAACUAACGAGUAUGAUCAAUAAUGUAAUCAUUAUUAAAUAAUUAAUUUGUAGAAAGAGACAAACCUCAUGACAAUCGUGGCGUGGAGAAGCCGCAGGCGAUGAGAAAUUCGGCGUUCUGAAACCGCCGUUUGAUGGCAUUGUUUGGAGAACAAAAUGAAACGGGCUUUCACAAAAACGUUUAUCUUCCGAUAAAUCUUGACCGUUCAUCAUCAUCGCAAACUCAUCUGAACCGUUAGAUCGGCUGCUGGUGCUAAUCGACGUUUCGAAAUCAACGUCCCAAGAUCUCUCUCCGUUCGUAACACUCUCUGACCAAACACCACUACUACUUGACCUCCGUGAGAAAUGCGUUUCAGACGCGAUUUUAUGCGUUUGGGAAGAAGCGUUUUCUUCUUCGUUACGUUUGGAUUUUCUUGUGACUAUUUUACGUACAACCGGAGAUUCCCAUCUCAACAUAUCUUUAACAGAAGAGGAAGAAACGCGACCAGCUUCUUUGCCGCCGCUGAUUUCGCGUUUCUUCCGCUUCUAGUAGAAUGGAAGCAGUUCUCGCCGGUAUAUUGACGAAAAUCGCGUUUUGGCUCCGAUUUGGUGACUUGAGUUCGAAGAGUGGAGACUUUUUCGGGUCAGGAGAUUCACGGAGAGAGAAGAAACAAGCGUUGCGGCAGAAACGCGAGGGAAGUCCAGCGUUUUGAGAGAUGGGUCUGCGUUUCUUGACCUGUAAAUGCGUUACGUGAGCAUUGAUUUGGCAACGUCGGUCUGAGAUGUAACUUUGAAGCUGAAACGGUUCUUGAUCUUCUUCAAGAAGAUCUUUUAAAUGUCUCUGAGACGCCAUUGUAUCAACAAGAAACAGAAUAGAGAGAAGAAAAAGAAGAGAGAAAGAUGUUGAUGGUGAUUCAAAAAAUGUGGAUGGUUUAAAAGAUCGAGGCAAUGGUUAAGUAAAUACUUGUAG
rnacentral:lncRNA from 1 species